rnacentral:rRNA from 1 species
GACGAACGCUGGCGGCGUGCUUAACACAUGCAAGUCGAACGGAAAGGCCCUGCUUUUGUGGGGUGCUCGAGUGGCGAACGGGUGAGUAACACGUGAGUAACCUGCCCUUGACUUUGGGAUAACUUCAGGAAACUGGGGCUAAUACCGGAUAGGAGCUCCUGCUGCAUGGUGGGGGUUGGAAAGUUUCGGCGGUUGGGGAUGGACUCGCGGCUUAUCAGCUUGUUGGUGGGGUAGUGGCUUACCAAGGCUUUGACGGGUAGCCGGCCUGAGAGGGUGACCGGCCACAUUGGGAAUGAGAUACGGCCCAGACUCCUACGGGAGGCAGCAGUGGGGAAUAUUGCACAAUGGGCGGAAGCCUGAUGCAGCAACGCCGCGUGCGGGAUGACGGCCUUCGGGUUGUAAACCGCUUUCGCCUGUGACGAAGAGUGAGUGACGGUAAUGGGUAAAGAAGCACCGGCUAACUACGUG